rnacentral:rRNA from 1 species
GUCGUAGGGCGCGAGCGUUGUCCGGAUUUAUUGGGCGUAAAGAGCUCGUAGGCGGCUUGUUGCGUCGGCUGUGAAAACCCAUGGCUCAACCGUGAGCUUGCAGCCGAUACGGGCAGGCUAGAGUUCGGUAGGGGAGACUGGAAUUCCUGGUGUAGCGGUGAAAUGCGCAGAUAUCAGGAGGAACACCGGUGGCGAAGGCGGGUCUCUGGGCCGAUACUGACGCUGAGGAGCGAAAGCGUGGGGAGCGAACAGG